rnacentral:lncRNA from 1 species
AUGGAUAGUUAGAAUGAGAAUUUCUUUAACCUCUAAGAUUAUUUAUACGGUUGUUUGUCUAAGAAACCUCUAAGGAUCCAUUUGAUUGGUUUGGUUAGGUGGGAAGUGGACAUGGGGCUCUUGAAGGAAAUUGGAGAAGAAGAUAAGGAAAGAGUUCAAGUCUAAGUUCAUGAUCGGAUGUGUAAUCGGCUUUUCAUCAUCUUUAAUGUAGUGAGCUUAUCACUUAUGUUAUGUAGUAUGUAGUUAUGCUUCUGAAAUUUGAAUGUAUGCUACUUUAUGCUUAUGAAUGUAUGCUAUCUAUGCUUUUGAAGUUUAUACUUAUGCUACUUUAUGUUUAUGAAAUAUGUUUUUGAAUCUAGGUACUUGUAUUUGUAUUUGUAGGCUGAUUCACUAAAUAUUCUUAUAUGGUCUGUUAUGGCAGUUCAUGUUAACAUGGGUGUUAGGGGUUUUUCUCGUAAUGAACUCGGUCCUUAAUAGACUUGGUCACUCUCUAUCCAUAAAAAUAAAAUUGACAAACAGAUAUGGGCAAAUGGACAUGGGCUAGCCCAUCUGACAACUCUACACGGAGAGCUUGCAUGUGAGCGAUAGAGUCAUUCCAGUCAAAAG